rnacentral:rRNA from 1 species
AUACGGAGGGUGCAAGCGUUGUCCGGAUUUAUUGGGUUUAAAGGGUGUGUAGGCGGUGUAUUAAGUCAGUGGUGAAAGCCUGCGGCUCAACCGUAGAACUGCCAUUGAUACUGACACACUUGAGUAUGCACGAGGUAGGCGGAAUUUAUGGUGUAGCGGUGAAAUGCAUAGAUACCAUAAAGAACACCGAUAGCGAAGGCAGCUUACUAGGCCAUAACUGACGCUGAGGCACGAAAGCGUGGGGAGCGAACAGGAUUAGAUACCCUAGUAGUCC